AUUCUCUCUUCCCAACCUCCUUUGCCGUCAACAUAUCUUCGCAGCUCGAGAGAUCGCUCUGUGUCUCCCACAUCUUCAAAGCUUCGCCAUAUUUUCUCUGUCACCGCCUCUCUCUCUCUCUCUCUCUCGCUCAAACUCAGCAGCAAAUUGAGCCGAAAGUGACGAAUUGAUUCAGCGAAUCAAACUCACUGAUGGCAAUAGGAAACCUUCCUGAACAUACAACAGAUUGAUUCUAAUAUAUUUUCUUAAAAGUUAUGGUGGCUUCAGUUUUGUUAACGUACAUGAUUUCUAUGAAGGCACUGGAAAUCUAUAGCUGCAAUACAGGCCAAUGUCCAAGAUUCUUGCUUCAUAUGACUAAUUCGAUGGACGGCCAGUACCAAGAGGAUAUGCUCUAUAAAGUAGUUGCUAGAGUUUAUAAUGUUGGUUGAAUUUUCAUGUUAUUUAGACCACCUCCUAGUCUUACGAUACUCCUUUUCCUUUCUUACUAAUUUUAUGAGGUGAUGUUUAGAUUUUAGAUUUUCGUAUAUGACUCUCUGAUUGUAUUAUCUUGCAAUUGUGAGAUCUCAAAUUUUCAACUUAUCAAUGUAUCAAAGCUUUCACUUCUUCCC